rnacentral:sRNA from 1 species
UGUUGUUUCACCGAGCCUGGAGAUCGC